GUGAAGAAAGCCACAGUCUGGUGCCACAAUAAUACAGUCAAAGAAAGGAACAAUCAAUGAGUCACGAUGUGGUGUUCAUGUUUACUACCAAGAAUAUGACCACUGCCUAGUUUUUAGCAUCAUCAUUGCCGCUGAUGCAAGCAAACACUUUCGCAAAUAAUAAAAUGUGGGAAAGGUACUUUCUAUACGGUCAAAGCUGUCGCCAAAUUGUAGUCGAGAAAUAGUAUAAAAGGACAGCGAAGGAAGACGAAUUCACAUCACAUUUGAACGUUCAACUAACAAGCGUCUUAGUCUCCUGACAAGAAAAACUCUCUAUCUCUCAAAAUGCGUACUCUGGUGGUUCUCCUCAUCGGCGCUGUCCUCCUCUGCUCUGCCAAUGCUUUCCUCGACGAGCUUCUGGCCGAGAGCGUGAACGACAUGACAGACAAGCGUGCAUGCUUCGACAAAUACAAGUCCAACAUCUGUGGUGGUGUCAUCAGCCCCGCUCACUGCGUGAGGAGGAGUGGUCGCAUGGCCAAGUUCGCAAAGGAGAACUGUGCGCACUUUUGUGGAUUCUGUUAGGGAAAACAGUGAUGUGAAGACGAAGACGAAAUGGAACCGGCUGGACUGGCUUUCACCUCGACAGAUUAUGAUUGUUAUUAUAGGGCCCUUAUAGUUCCAUAUAAUAAAUAGUUGAAAAGCAG